UAUUAUAUGAACAGCUGGAUGGCAUGUAAUGACCAGCUUUUUUCUUGUUUUUGUGAUGUUGCAGAUGGUGUGUCGAUAGAUAUGUAUCACCCACCUCUACAUGUAUAUUCUGGAUGUCCAGGUUAAUCAUAAACGGGAGGGGGACAACGGGACUCAUUUCUUCACAUAUUGGACUGUCAGUCAGUAUCGUGAAUUCUCUCUUCUUUCUUUUGCUUUCUUGCACUAACAUGCAUUCUCUUUUGAUCUUCUGCUAUCAGACGACGACUGGUUGUAACCCGGUCUACGAGGGGUUGUUCAUCGAGGUCAGUACUAUGCUGACCCCCGACAUGAUCUACACACUAAACUGGUUGGGUUGGUUCACUUUUUUGUAGAACGAUAGGGAAGCUGUGUGGCCAAAGGAAGUCUUCGAUGACAUGGCAGCCUCCUCGCCCCUUGGUUGUAAAUUCAUGCGAUUUCUCCUGACGGAUGGACACUGUAAUAACUAACAUAAAAAGGUGACGGAUUGAUUACAAGGCAAUUAAUCUUCCUGGAACAAAAUUGACCUCUUGUGGUGUAUGCUUUGGUGUUAAUAUAACCCCAAAAUGAUCAUCUUGAUCUUGUGGUAUAAGAAUUUUUGUCCAUGUGAGUCGAGAUAAGGCUCAUUCAUAGGAGCUGGAUACCAUGUAAUAAAUACCAUGCAAUGGAAAUAUGUUUAUAUGUAUACUAUA